AUUGAACGCUGGCGGCAUGCUUUACACAUGCAAGUCGAACGGUAACAGGUUAAGCUGACGAGUGGCGAACGGGUGAGUAAUGCAUCGGAACGUGCCCGGUCGUGGGGGAUAACGCAGCGAAAGCUGCGCUAAUACCGCAUACGAUCUGAGGAUGAAAGCGGGGGACCGUAAGGCCUCGCGCGAUCGGAGCGGCCGAUGUCAGAUUAGGUAGUUGGUGGGGUAAAGGCCCACCAAGCCGACGAUCUGUAGCUGGUCUGAGAGAACGACCAGCCACACUGGGACUGAGACACGGCCCAGACUCCUACGGGAGGCAGCAGUGGGGAAUUUUGGACAAUGGGCGAAAGCCUGAUCCAGCAAUGCCGCGUGCAGGAAGAAGGCCUUCGGGUUGUAAACUGCUUUUGUACGGAGCGAAAAGGUCCUUUCUAAUACAAGGGGCUCAUGACGGUACCGUAAGAAUAAGCACCGGCUAACUACGUGCCAGCAGCCGCCGUAAAAC
rnacentral:rRNA from 1 species